UACGUAGGGCGCAAGCGUUGUCCGGAAUUAUUGGGCGUAAAGAGCUCGUAGGCGGCUUGUCACGUCGAUUGUGAAAGCUCGGGGCUUAACCCCGAGUCUGGCAGUCGAUACGGGCUAGCUAGAGUGUGGUAGGGGGAGAUCGGAAUUCCUGGUGUAGGCGGUGAAAUGCGCAGAUAUCAGGAGGAACACCGGUGGCGAAGGCGGAUCUCUGGGCCAUUACUGACGCUGGAGGAGCGAAAGCGUGGGGAGCGAACAGGA
rnacentral:rRNA from 1 species